CAUAGAUCGUCAUGCUUCUAUCGAUUUCUGUUGACAUGCGCGCUUGUCUUUGCUCACGGUGAUCAAGUUAAAAUUAGUGGCUGUCAACUCGCGUCGAGUCGUAAUUUGUCAUCGUUACAUUUCGACCGGGUAAAAUGGUAGUCCUUUAACCACCAAACCCAGUGGCCACCCUUCCAAUUUGGAAGGGGGAGAUGGGGUUCGAAUCUCUACCUUCUCCCUUCUCCGGGAGAUUGGAGCGGGGACAAUUUAGUUUCAGGAAUGGGAUUCGACUCCCACACUCUGGGCAGGGCAAGAGUUUGAGAGUAAGCAUUAGAGUAGUAGAGAUAGAGUAGAACUGGUAAAAAUGGAAAAUUGAUAGUCGUUUUCUAUAUGAGAGGCCGAAAUUUCUUGCGGACUGGGUAUGGAUUCGUAUACUGAGCAAAUUAAUCUGCAUCGAAUUUGCCAAACUGGAGGAGUCUUUGUUUUGAGUGGAGAUUCUAAUUUCAGGAGAUGCAAUUGGUAAUUGAUGAAUCCUAUGUUUUAUUUCUUUGUGCGAGCAUGCUUUACGUCCAUCUAGAUGGUGGGAUGCACACUCAAGUACACAUGUUGGUCUGCUCCCUUCUAUGGUUAAUUCCUGGAUUCAUUUGCCUUUCUAAUUGUGGAUUAACUUCCUUUCUGAUAUCAGGCGCUUCGUUACUUGUACAGCGCGUGACUAGGCCUAGAGGAGGGAUUAAUGAAUGGCUUCGUUGGAUCCCGGUUUCCUUCCAUAAAAAAAUUAAUUAUGUCGUGAAAAGAGUUUGGGGUGAUUCAAGGUUUCAAACGACGGUUGAGAGCAAUAAAGUCAGGCCUUUUUCAGCUGAAAAAAGUGGAUUAUUGGAAGCUGAUCCAAAACAGAUUGCAGUAAUGGCUCGUGAAUCAUUUGAAAAGGAGGGCCCACUGUUGGUGAUUGCAUCUGGGCGGGACACUAUUCCUGUUGCAAGCACAAUAAGAAGGUUGGCUCCGGAGAAUGUUUUUGUUAUUCAGAUACAACAUCCGAGGUCCCGUCUAGAUAGGUUUGAUUUGGUGAUUACUCCUCGUCAUGAUUAUUAUCCACAGACAGCUCACGCGCAAGGGCAAAUUCCUUGGCUUCUUCGAAGGUGGAUAACUCCACGUGAUCAUCCCGAUAGUCAUGUGAUUCUCACUGUGGGCGCCCUUCAUCAAGCUGAUUCUACUGCUCUUAAAAGUGCUACCUUCACCUGGCAUGAUGAGUUGGCAUAUCUUCCGAAGCCCUUGCUUGUGGUCAAUAUUGGCGGUCCCACAAGCAAUUGUCCCUAUGGUGAUGAUCUUGCAAAGGAGUUGAUAACUAAGCUGCAGAAUGUCAUGUGGAGCUGUGGAAGUCUCAGAAUAUCUUUCUCUAGGAGGACUCCUGUGAGGGUGUCCGAAAUGUUUGUUAAAGAAUUCAGGGCUAAUUCUAAAGUUCACAUUUGGGAUGGUGAAGGUCCAAACCCACACAUGGGACAUUUGGCUUGGGCUGAUGCUUUUGUUGUAACAGCUGAUUCUGUGAGCAUGUUGAGUGAGGUCUGCAGUACAGGGAAGCCAGUUUAUGUUGGUGGAGCUGAACGGUGUAAGUGGAAGUUUGCUGACUUCCAGAAUUCCUUGCAAGAACGAGGAGCAGUUCGAGCAUUCACUGGAAAGGAAGAUGGAGUCGCUGAAGAAAAUUUGCACACAAUAGAAACAUUUACAGAUAUGACAGAAUGAAACUUGCAAAUGGUAGCUGGGGAUGAACAUUGCUGGAAAAUAAGGUGACAAACAUUUGUUGGUGACUCUGGAUGAUAGAAGCAAAGGAGCAGGAACGAUGAAGACUGGAGCAAAACCUGCACAAUAAGAGGAAAAGACUCAUGACCAAGAGGAGAGAAAGAAAUGAAGACAAGUCAAUUCUCGGUUGAGAAGAUAGGUCUACAUUUCUCGGAAACUGAAAAGCUUGAGGAUAUCUGAGAUCUGGAGCUAUCCUCCACUUAAUGACACUGCCGAGUCUGCUGCUCAGGUGCAUGAAGCACUUGCCAAGCGCGGAUGGAAGAUAUGCACGUGAUGGGCCUUCUGCUGUUGAGCCAAUGUGGUCCUGUCACUCGCUUUGCUCUGGCACGUCUAGCAUGUCAUUAGGUUGGCCAGUACCCACUUGGUAACCUCGGUGAAGAUAGCUCCUGUUCGCUAAUGUUUCAAGGAGUCCAAUCUUAUUCUGUGGCUGUCCAUUUCUGCGGAGCACAACUUUAGGUUGUGCAUUUUUGGAGAAAGAAUAGCCAGUUGGCAAGUAAUCCAGCGUGUGAGAUAGAGGACGUUGCUUUUUUUUUUUUUUUUUUUUUUUUUUUUUCCGUUCUUUGUACUGUUUCUGGAUUCCCCCACUUCAUUAUAAGUUUAUUUGUACUGACGGGGAAAGCGGUUUCGGUCACAUUAUGCCUUUCCCAGCGAUGGGAGCUAUACUGUAUAAAGUUUCCCGCUUAUUUGAUCGAUAUGUGAGCAAAUUCUGAUAGCAAAAGCAGCAUCUAUGGAUUCAUGCUA